rnacentral:rRNA from 1 species
UGACACGGGGAGGUAGUGACGAUCAAUAACGAAACGGGACUCAGUCGAGGCUCCGUUAUCGGAAUGAGUACACUUUAAAUCCUUUAACGAGGAUCUAUUGGAGGGCAAGUCUGGUGCCAGCAGCCGCGGUAAUUCCAGCUCCAUUAGUGUAUACUAAAGUUGCUGUGGUUAAAAAGCUCGUAGUUGGUUCUGGGGUCUUACCGCUGCGUUCGUCUCGGGGUCAUAUGAAAGGCUCUGCCGACCUCGAUGUACGGCC